AUCCUCCAUGACAGAGGAGAUUUCCUGUCAGAAGCAGUUUAUCUGGGUGGACGUCAGGUGUAUUAUUUGAAAACUGCUGCUUGGUGACAUUGACGUCAUGGAUUUGAAGACAGCUGCACCUCCAGAAGCAGCAGAGAGGAGCCUCUUAGCUGGUUAAAGGUUGCAGUCACAGGUUGCGUCUUUUUGUUCUCUACAGCUAGAUCAUUUCAAUAUAUUUCUCUCUGACGAGAGAACAAUUUUUGCUCCACUUUUACGUCAAUAGAGGCAGACUUUAUUACAUUGAUAUUGCUGGUGCUAGCAGCAGGUGAUCUAAAAGUCUCCAUGGCAACAGUUUUUUUUUACCUUUCAAAGAGCUGAGAAGCCGUUUGGUAAAGUUUCUGCCCUCAGUGUUUCUACACAGAUCCCAGCAGAGAGUCAUUAGGGCCUCACGUUAAUCCCCAGAUCUGAUUAUCUCGUUAACUACAACAGAGCCAGCUGGCCGCCGUGAGGCCAUGCAGAGGCAGAGGUGUCCAGCAGACCUCAGAAAGAAGGUGGAACUUCUUUUUACCUGUAAUGAAGACAGCUUUGCCCUGCAUAGGAAGGGUGGGUGGUGGGCCGGCCCUGGACCUCAAGUAGAUGUAACAGAUAAGAGCGAGCAGCACCAACAGCAGCAUGGCCGGCAGACAGAACGCCCACAGUCGCUCCACCAGCACCGUGGCCCCCAGCCAGGCCACCA